AUAAUGACGGUACUUGAGGAGGAAGCCCCGGCUAACUACGUGCCAGCAGCCGCGGUAAUACGUAGGGGGCUAGCGUUAUCCGGAUUUACUGGGCGUAAAGGGUGCGUAGGCGGUCUUUCAAGUCAGGAGUGAAAGGCUACGGCUCAACCGUAGUAAGCUCUUGAAACUGGGAGACUUGAGUGCAGGGGAGGAGAGUGGAAUUCCUAGUGUAGCGGUGAAAUGCGUAGAUAUUAGGAGGAACACCAGUUGCGAAGGCGGCUCUCUGGACUGUAACUGACGCUGAGGCACGAAAGCGUGGGGAGCAAACAGGAUUAGAUACCCUGGUAGUCCACGCUGUAAACGAUGAGUACUAGGUGUCGGGGGUUACCCCCCUCGGUGCCGCAGCUAACGCAUUAAGUACUCCGCCUGGGAAGUACGC
rnacentral:rRNA from 1 species